AUACAUAGGGGGCAAGCGUUAUCCGGAAUUAUUGGGCGUAAAGGGUGCGUAGGCGGUCUAUUAAGUCUGAGGUGUAAGUGCAGGGCUCGACCCUGUGAUGCUUUAGAAACUGGUAGACUUGAGUGAGAUAGAGGCAAGUGGAAUUCCAUGUGUAGCGGUAAAAUGCGUAAAUAUAUGGAGGAACACCAGUGGCGAAGGCGGCUUGCUGGGUCUAUACUGACGCUGAGGCACGAAAGCGUGGGGAGCAAACAGGAUUAGAUACCCUGGUAGUCCACGCCGUAAACGAUGAGUACUAAGUGUUGCGAGAACGCAGUGCUGAAGUUAACAUAUUAAGUACUCCGCCUGAGUAGUACGUACGCAAGUAUGAAACUCAAAGGAAUUGACGGGG
rnacentral:rRNA from 1 species